rfam:Tupaia chinensis contig189577, whole genome shotgun sequence.
AAAGUGGCUUACGCAACCGCCAUGGACUGGUUCAUUGCUGUCUGUUACGCCUUU